rnacentral:rRNA from 1 species
UCGAGCGGUAGAGAGAAGCUUGCUUCUCUUGAGAGCGGCGGACGGGUGAGUAAUGCCUAGGAAUCUGCCUGGUAGUGGGGGAUAACGUCCGGAAACGGACGCUAAUACCGCAUACGUCCUACGGGAGAAAGCAGGGGACCUUCGGGCCUUGCGCUAUCAGAUGAGCCUAGGUCGGAUUAGCUAGUUGGUGGGGUAAUGGCUCACCAAGGCGACGAUCCGUAACUGGUCUGAGAGGAUGAUCAGUCACACUGGAACUGAGACACGGUCCAGACUCCUACGGGAGGCAGCAGUGGGGAAUAUUGGACAAUGGGCGAAAGCCUGAUCCAGCCAUGCCGCGUGUGUGAAGAAGGUCUUCGGAUUGUAAAGCACUUUAAGUUGGGAGGAAGGGCAGUAAAUUAAUACUUUGCUGUUUUGACGUUACCGACAGAAUAAGCACCGGCUAACUCUGUGCCAGCAGCCGCGGUAAU